GCCUAAAGCGUCCGUAGCCGGCUCUGUAAGUUUUCGGUUAAAUCCAUAUGCUCAACAUAUGGGCUGCCGGGAAUACUGCAUAGCUAGGGAGUGGGAGAGGUAGACGGUACUCCGUAGGAAGGGGUAAAAUCCUUUGAUCUAUGGAUGACCACCUGUGGCGAAGGCGGUCUACCAGAGCACGUUCGACGGUGAGGGAUGAAAGCUGGGGGAGCAAACCGGAUUAGAUACCCGGGUAGUCCCAGCUGUAAACUAUGCAAACUCAGUGAUGCAUUGGCUUGUGGCCAGUGCAGUGCCGCAGAGAAGUCGUUAAGUUUGCCGCCUGGGAAGUACGUACGCAAGUAUGAAACUUAAAGGAAUUGGCGGGGGAGCACCACAAGGGGUGAAGCCUGCGGUUCAAUUGGAGUCAACGCCAGAAAUCUUACCCGGAGAGACAGCAGGAUGAAGGUCAAGUUGAAGCCUUUACCAGACAAGCUGAGAAGUGGUGCAUGGCCGUCGCCAGCUCGUGCCGUGAGGUGUCCUGUUAAGUCAGGUAACGAGCGAGAUCCUUGCCUCUAGUUGCCACCAUUACUCUCAGGAGUAGUGGGGUGAAUUAGCGGGACUGCCGUAGUUAAUACGGAGGAAGGAGAGGGCCACGGCAGGUCAGUAUGCCCCGAA
rnacentral:rRNA from 1 species